rnacentral:lncRNA from 1 species
AUGCUCCUUAUUUAGGAAAUUAUCACCAUGAGACUGAUCAAAUUGUUUUAUUGUGUUCAAUUUCAAUUGAAAACUUUUUGUGAACCAAAAGGCCCUUAUUGUGCUUCAAAAGGCUGGAUAACACAUGCUUGCAUCUGAAGCUGGCUAAGGAAGGGUGGAUAAUUUCCCCAAAGUUCUCUUGCUUUCUUUGGAAGAGAAAGAAAGCGGAGGUAAAUUUGGUUUUAAUGAGGUAGCUUGAUAUAAGACAGUGUUUUUACUUUGCCUACAGGAUGAAAUGGAUUUCUGAUGUGUCCUCCUGAUUUUACAAGCCAUAACCAAGUAUCUCUUGGUGUUCACUAAUUCUCCUUUGCUGUCUUUAGACUCUUUACCAUUUUAUGCUGGUUUAGAAACUACACUUGGUAGGCGGAAAUGGGAUGCUUAUACCACAGUUUCUUUAUAUUUUCACCUGAUUGCUUAUUUGCCAAGCCAACUUUCCCGUUUCUUCCGCUAGAACUUAUGCUCAAGCAGGAUGAAUAUUCCAGAUUGCAUAAAGUAGCAUCCUAGUCUCAGUCUUUUGCGUGUUUAUGAGGGGAUCGUCUUUUUUCUAGCGCUGAAAUCGCCCAUCGAUCAUGUUAGGUUUGCGAUGCUUUCUGGUCAGUGUUGAACUCGUAAUUCCCCUAAACUUACUAUCAGAAAAUUCUUGGCAUUACUAUCCCGCGAUGACUUAUUCUCCCUUGAUAAUAUGAUCAAACCACUUUGACUUUGCAUAAAAUUAGGUCUAAAAUACAUUAAGGCAAUCUAUAGCAAUUAGAGUUCCCCCAACUACUUUAAGUUUGAGUAAAAUUAGGUUUCUACCACAUCAAGACAAUUAGACUUCUCCCAUUUGUAAACAUUGAUAGGUUGUUUUGUGUGCAUUUUGUACUGCCUCUCCUGUCUUUAGAUGCAAAAUAUGCAAAAUUCCACGGUUCAUUUGAUUAAAGUAGAAAACUUGCUUCCUUCUGUGGGGCAUGUAGUUUCUUCUUCAGGUAGUCAUGGCCCCUUCACACAGAUUAUAUCUUUUCUCUAAAUACUUAUCGUGAUUAAAUGUAAAUAUAUUUAAGUCUCUUUUUCCUUGGAGAGCAGAAGUUGCUCGCUUUCGGUUUUUUCUUUGUGAAGUAUAAGUUCCAUCUCUUUUCACCAUGAUGUGCCGAAUGAGUGAAGCAUGCCUUUCUUUAGAGAAGCUUCCUUUCACUCUCCCAUGAGAAUUCCAUUGCAAUGUCAUCUGACCCACUACUCUCCCUCCAGA